GGCGCAGUCGGAUCCUGCGCUGCCACGGUUGCGGGUGUGCGGGGCGUAGGAGGACUUCCCGAGGGCGCGGAGCGGGGCCGCGAGAUGGCCUCUGUGGUCUUUGAGGAUGUGGCUGUGAACUUCACCCCGGAAGAGUCGGCUUUGCUGGAUUGACGUCAGAGGAAGCUCUACAGAGAUGUGAUGCUGGAGACCUGCAGGAACCUGUCCUCCGUGGAAGUCUUUUGGUGGAGAGUGUCUGUGAACGUUCUGAAUGAAGGAGAUCAACGUAGAGAAACCCUGAACCCGAUUACAAGUCUUACUGUGCAUGAGGGGUGUCCUACUGCAGGCAAAUCAUGCACUAAGUGUAGAGAAGCCUUCGCAGAUGGUUCCUUCCUAGAGAAGACGUGAACAUCUCACCCAGGGCUCAAACGUAGUCCCUGUGAGGAAUGUGGGCUGGGCUGUAGCUCCGUCUCGAGCCUCAGCACUCACGUGGAUGUAGACCUUGUAGAGAGAUCCUAUGAAGGUCAGGAUGCUGGGAGAGCGUCUGACACAAACGCGAAGUCUCAGUAGUGAAAAAUCUCUAGAGUGCAAGAAAUGUGGAAAAGCUUUCACUUGCGCGUCUUCCUUUUAGGGUCAUGUGUCAGUUCACUGCGGACAGAAAGUCCAUGAGUGUGACGUUUGUGGGAAAACCUUUAUGUAUCACUGCUACCUUACACGUUAUGUGAGAAGUCACACUGGGGAGAGACUCCUAUCAGUGUUAAGAGUGUGGGAGCGCCUUCAGGUAUAAGUCAAGCCUGAGAAAACAUGUGAGAACACACGCUCAGGAGAAACACUAUGAACGACCACACUGUGGGAAAGCCUUCAUUUGUCUCUCUUCCCUUCAGGGACACACGGGCAAGCACAGUGACGUGAAACCCUAUGAACUUCACCGUGGAAAAGCCUUCAGGUAUCCCAGGAAUCUUUGAGCACAGACAUGCGGUGGGAAAGCAUUUAUUCUCCCUUAAAAUCUUAUUUAUUUUUCUUCUUUUCUCUUAAAAUCUUAAUUAAAAUGUGAGCCAAUACAUUGGAGAUGAUCCUGAAUGCACACAAUUUUGGGCAAACUCCAGGUAUAGAACUUGAU